rnacentral:rRNA from 1 species
CCAGACUCCUACGGGAGGCAGCAGUGGGGAAUAUUGGGCAAUGGGCGCAAGCCUGACCCAGCAACGCCGCGUGAAGGAAGAAGGCCCUCGGGUUGUAAACUUCUUUUGUCAGGGACGAAGAAAGUGACGGUACCUGACGAAUAAGCCACGGCUAACUACGUGCCAGCAGCCGCGGUAAUACGUAGGUGGCAAGCGUUGUCCGGAUUUACUGGGUGUAAAGGGCGUGCAGCCGGGAGUGCAAGUCAGAUGUGAAAUCCCGCGGCUCAACCGCGGAACUGCAUUUGAAACUGUGCUUCUUGAGUGCUGGAGAGGCAGACGGAAUUCCUAGUGUAGCGGUGAAAUGCGUAGAUAUUAGGAGGAACACCAGUGGCGAAGGCGGUCUGCUGGACAGUAACUGACGGUGAGGCGCGAAAGCGUGGGGAGCAAACAGGAUUAGAUACCCCUGUAA